AUUGAACGCUGGCGGCAUGCUUUACACAUGCAAGUCGAACGGUAACAGGCCGCAAGGUGCUGACGAGUGGCGAACGGGUGAGUAAUGCAUCGGAACGUGCCCAGUCGUGGGGGAUAACGCAGCGAAAGCUGUGCUAAUACCGCAUACGAUCUAUGGAUGAAAGCGGGGGACCGUAAGGCCUCGCGCGAUUGGAGCGGCCGAUGUCAGAUUAGGUAGUUGGUGGGGUAAAGGCUCACCAAGCCAACGAUCUGUAGCUGGUCUGAGAGGACGACCAGCGACACUGGGACUGAAACACGGCCCAGACUCCUACGGGAGGCAGCAGUGGGGAAUUUUGGGCAAUGGGGGGAAGCCUGAUCCAGCAAUGCCGCGUGCAGGAAGAAGGCCUUCGGGUUGUAAACUGCUUUUGUACGGAACGAAACGGUCCGGGUUAAUACCCUGGGCUAAUGACGGUACCGUAAGAAUAAGCACCGGCUAACUACGUGCCAGCCGCCGCCGUAA
rnacentral:rRNA from 1 species